AGAUUGAACGCUGGCGGCAGGCCUAACACAUGCAAGUCGAGCGGUAGAGAGGUGCUUGCAUCUCUUGAGAGCGGCGGACGGGUGAGUAAUGCCUAGGAAUCUGCCUAGUGGUGGGGGAUAACGUUCGGAAACGGACGCUAAUACCGCAUACGUCCUACGGGAGAAAGCGGGGGACCUUCGGGCCUCGCGCCAUUAGAUGAGCCUAGGUCGGAUUAGCUAGUUGGUGAGGUAAUGGCUCACCAAGGCGACGAUCCGUAACUGGUCUGAGAGGAUGAUCAGUCACACUGGAACUGAGACACGGUCCAGACUCCUACGGGAGGCAGCAGUGGGAAUAUUGGACAAUGGCGAAAGCCUGAUCCAGCCAUGCCGCGUGUGUGAAGUAAGGUCUUCGGAUUGAAAGCACUUUAAGUGGAAGAAGGUUGUAACCUAAUACGUUGACUAACUUGACGUUACGACAGAAUAAGCACCGCAACUUCGUGCCAGCAGCCGUACG
rnacentral:rRNA from 1 species